UACGGAGGAGGCAAGCGUUAUCCGGAAUUAUUGGGCCUAAAGCAUCCGUAGCCGGUUCUACAAGUCUUCCGUUAAAUCCAUCUGCUUAACAGAUGGGCUGCGGAAGAUACUAUAGAGCUAGGAGGCGGGAGAGGCAAGCGGUACUCGAUGGGUAGGGGUAAAAUCCGUUGAUCCAUUGAAGACCACCAGUGGCGAAGGCGGCUUGCCAGAACGCGCUCGACGGUGAGGGAUGAAAGCUGGGGGAGCAAACCGG
rnacentral:rRNA from 1 species